rnacentral:rRNA from 1 species
UGCGAUACGUAAUGUGAAUUGCAGAAUUCAGUGAAUCAUCGAGUCUUUGAACGCACAUUGCGCCCCCUGGUAUUCCGGGGGGCAUGCCUGUUCGAGCGUCAUUUCACCACUCAAGCCUCGCUUGGUAUUGGGCAACGCGGUCCGCCGCGUGCCUCAAAUCGACCGGCUGGGUCUUCUGUCCCCUAAGCGUUGUGGAGACUAUUCGCUAAAGGGUGCUCGGGAGGCUACGCCGUAAAACAAACCCAUUUCUAAGGUUGACCUCGGAUCAGGUAGGGAUACCCGCUGAACUUAAGCAUAUCAAUAAGCGGAGGAAA